rnacentral:sRNA from 1 species
UCUCUUGGAAUGGCCGCCGGGGAAGGUAAACCUUGCUGUAAUGCACCCAUUGGCUUAAUUUGUGCAUUAAUAGCUCUGAAAUCAUGCAGCAGUCACUGUCUUCCAGGCUUUUUUGGAAUAACAAAUACCAGUGAAUUUCAGGGGCUCACUCACUUCUCUAUAUGUCCUGCAUUCAAUUGUUCUUUUACCAACAGAUGAAGUUGAUCUAGCUUCCCCUGUGUUAGGGGCCCACACAAGUUUCUCACUAAGCCAUUCUAAUGGUAAGGCAGCGGGCAGAGGAGAGAUAUCAAUGACCCCCAUCAGAAAUCCUGACGUCCUAGCCCUUUUCUGUUUUUCCAGUUACUGAGAACGGGUUAGGGUUUCCUUGUAGGAAUUUCCCUAACCCUUUUCUACUUUCAUAUCCCAUGUCCUUCAACAUUUUAAAUCCUGGGUUACCAAAGUUUUCAUUUGUAAGAGUCUCAUAUCUCAUGCUGUAAGUCUCAACCCCAUAAAUUGAUGGCUGUAUUUGCAACCUAAGACUGGAAAGUACCUGACUGACCAUCCAGACCAAGACAAGGUAAAAUCUCAGCACUCUGUUGAAAACACUUUUAGCUGCUCCUACUCCCACUGGGGGUGUGGAGGUUAGUCUGAGAGUCGAUGCUGGGGGCCAGUCUUUACUGGAUAUGACUGACACAUCAGCUCCUGUGUCCAUUCGCCCAUAAAAUUUCUUUCCUUUAAUUAGUACUACACAGGUAAGUCUAUUAGAGGCUAUGGAUUGGGAUAGAUAAGUUUCCUAUGUAAUUGUGCUCCCAAACCCUUUAUUUCCUCAUUUCUCCUUUUGUGAAGAUGGGUGUAAUUUGCAGGGAAUAAGCAAUAGCUAAGCAGUAUAUUCUCCUGGUUCAAAAACCCAAAGAUCUUGUGACAUUAAAACUACUUGAAUUUCUCCUUCAUAAUCGGAGUCAGUCACUCCUGGGACUACAGUGAUGCCUUGCAAGUUAAGGCGGCCUUUGCCUAAAAUUAGUUCCAUGUAUCCUCUUGGUAAAGGUCCCCAAAUGCCAGUGGGAAUUUUGAUAGGUUUGUCUCCACCAACUACUGUUAUUUCUCUUGACUGGGAGAUCUAAUCCUGCACUUCCUGGUGUUCCUGGGGUGAGGGAAUCAAUGUUUCUCUUGGGACCCAUCCCUGAAAUGGGCUUGUGGUCUGGACUGAGAAUGCCCUCAUUGUUUGAGGGGCCCGGGUCCAGGCCACCUUCUCAUUUCCCAGCAGGAGGGGUGCCAUUCUGAUGAAGUCUUGAGUGGCACUGAUGAGCCCAGUGAUUUCCUUUGUUACAGCGAGGACAGAGUGCUGGCGUUUUUCUGCUGGGGGUUGGGGGCGGCACUGCAUUGUGAGGUCCUUUCUGUCCUGAGAUCUGGUGGCAUUCCUUUUUAAAAUGUCUGGUUUUUCCGCAGGUACAACAUUUUCCCAAUUUAGGGUUUGACCCUUGGCUCCUUUUAGAUUUGUCAACUACUAAAUUAGCCAUGCUUCAGCUAUCAUUGAAGAGCAAUGAAGCUCAGUUGCUACAUCCUAACAAGCUCUGAGAAAAUUUCCCAAGUCUUUUGUACACCUUACAGGUGCCAGUGCACAUUUACAAUCCACGUUUGCAUUCUCAAAAGCUAAAGUUAAGGUUAGCAUUUCUGCGGCAGUGGCAUGAGGAAUCUGACGCUUCACUGCCUCUUGUAAUCUCGCAAGAAAUUGUGCAUAGGGCUCCUACAACCCUUGCAUGAUAUGCAAAAAGGAUUGUACUAGGACUCCCUCAUCUGGAAUUGUGGCCCGGGCGCAUUUAGCAGCCUGUGAACGCUGCUGAUAAGCAGCAGCUGGGGGUGCCAUUUGAUGUUCCAGGUCUGAAUAAGGGUCAUUACCCAAUAGCAUAUCCUCUGUAAUGUCUCCUUGACAAGCGGCACGAUUCUGUCUAGCCUGGUUUGCACACAGUUCUUGCCAAUUUAAAUUCCCUGUCAGAUACGCAGUAGCAGACAAGUUUGCGCCAAAAGUUUUACAUCAAAGAGUAGAAGGCACGUAGCACCGAAUACAGAUUCUAGCAAUCCUAAAGUGAAUGGGUUCUGUACUUCAUUGUUAACUACACUCGUUUGUAAUUCCUUCAACAACUAAACUCUAGUGGGGUAUUUUCAUGAAUAAACUGAUGUAGAUUGUUUGGAUCAGGCCUUAUGGAAAUAGGAAAAGCACAAGGUCCUAAGGGCUCUCCAGCUAUGGCAGCAGAGUGUAACAUUCUUUGUACUGGGGUCUCUAUUUCUGCUACUGAAGGAGGUGGUACAGACGUUGCUGCAACUGGAGGGGGUGGUAAAAACCAAUUUUUAUCCUCCCUCUCCUGUUUUUUGUUUUCAAUUGGAUCUGUGGAUGGGACAACAGAUUCUUUGAGAUUUUUAGACUCAGUCUGCUGCCCAGCAGAAUAAUGAGAUAAUGGCAGAACAGUACGAACUAGACUCCACGUGAAGACAGAAGAAUCAACUUUAAGACCUUUUUGAUGAGCCUUUUUUAAUCCUUUUCCUGCUGUGUCCCAAUUUUCCACAUCAAGAGUGCCUGCCUGUGGAAACCAUGGGCUAUGCAUAAUAAUCUCCUGCAGAGAGGCUUAAUGUCUGUGAAUUAACCUGAGUUCCAGACUGUCUCAAUAGAACUUUAAACAACUGCACAUAGUGGUUUUUUUCAACAGACAAAUUCUGCCCCAUGUUACCCUGAUUCAGAAAACUUCCCAUUCCCAGUACUUUAGAGCACUGACCUUAUAUCGCUCCCAGUACCUCUUUAGGGCACUGACCUUACAUCUGCUGCCAGCCGACUCAUCCAGGGUUCCCCAUUCACCUUGUGAAUUUCAGUUCCUCUACUCCAGCAGAACCUUCUUUGUUCAUGUCCUCAAAGUCCUAUAUUCGGAGGCCACUUGUCUGACAUCCUCGAAGUCCCUGUUCUGGGUCACCAGUUGCCACCUGCACAGACCCUGGGGGACUGAACAAAGGGGGUGAACAUUGGAAUAAAAGACAAAGAUUCCCCACUGCUGCAAUGCAUCACCUCAGUUCCUUGUGUUUUCUGCACUGCCAGCAUGAUAUACACAAUACCCUGAUACUCCUACCAAUGUCUGAGUCAGAGAGGAGCUCUAAAUUGGGAAGUAAUGCAGGAAACAAGCCUUGUAAAAAUCAACUUGGAUUCACUUUUCAGUUACAUCUGAGUGAUCUACAGCUAUUUCAAGCUGAAAGGAAAGUUUCUGGGUGUAAGCAUUUUGAAAAACCCAUCAGUGACAAUUCCUCAGUUUCACCGCUUGAAAAAAUUUCUUCCAGUGUCAAAUCCCACCUUUUAAAUAAAUAUAGAAAUAAUUUU